rnacentral:pre_miRNA from 1 species
AGAGAUGAGAGCUUCCUUCGGUCCAAAUGCAGGAGUAGAGAUGGUGUACACUGCUCCUAAUUCAUGAAUACCUCUGGGUUGCGCAGGAUAAUGAAACACUAAUGCGCAGCUUAAGGGUUUGCAUGACCUAGGAGCAGAGAUUUCCUUCUCAUUUCCUUGAUUGGAUUGAAGGGAGCUCUCAUUAUU